UGCAGUCGACGGUAACAGAGAGAGCUUGCUUCUCUGCUGACGAGUGGCGGACGGGUGAGUAAUGCUUAGGAAUCUGCCCAUGUAGUGGGGGACAACUCGGAGAAAUCCGAGCUAAUACCGCAUACGCCCUACGGGGGAAAGCAGGGGAUCUUCGGACCUUGCGCUAUUGGAUGAGCCUAAGUCAGAUUAGCUAGUUGGUGGGGUAAGAGCCUACCAAGGCGACGAUCUGUAGCUGGUCUGAGAGGACGAUCAGCCACACUGGGACUGAGACACGGCCCAGACUCCUACGGGAGGCAGCAGUGGGGAAUAUUGGACAAUGGGGGCAACCCUGAUCCAGCAAUGCCGCGUGUGUGAAGAAGGCCUGCGGGUUGUAAAGCACUUUCAGUAAGGAAGAAAACCUCAGGGUUAAUAACUCUGUGGCUUGACAUUACUUACAGAAGAAGCACCGGCUAACUCCGUGCCAGCAGCCGCGGUAAUACG
rnacentral:rRNA from 1 species